rnacentral:rRNA from 1 species
UGUCGAAACCGGAGGGAAGGUGGGGAUGACGUCAAGUCCUCAUGGCCUUUAUGACCAGGCUACACACGUACUACAAUGGCCGGUACAAAGGGCAGCCACUUAGCGAUAAGGAGCCAAUCCCGUAAAGCCCGGUCUCAGUCCGGAUUGGAGUCUGCAACUCGACUCCAUGAAGUUGGAAUCGCUAGUAAUCGCAGAUCAGCACGCUGCGGUGAAUACGUUCCCGGGCCUU